AUACGGAAGGCAGCAGUGGGGAAUUUUUGGCAAUGGGGGCAACCCUGACCAAGCAACGCCGCGUGGGUGAUGAAGUCUCUUGGGACGUAAAACCCUUUCGACGGGGAAGAAACCGCAAGGUUGACGGUACCCGUAGAAGAAGCCCCGGCUAACUCCGUGCCAGCAGCCGCGGUAAUACGGGGGGGGCAAGCGUUGUUCGGAAUUACUGGGCGUAAAGGGCGCGUAGGCGGUUCGCUAAGUUGAAUGUGAAAACUCUGGGCUCAACCCAGAGCCUGCAUCCAAAACUGGCGGGCUAGAGUUCUGGAGGGGGUAGCGGAAUUCCUGGUGUAGCGGUGAAAUGCGUAGAUAUCAGGAGGAACACCGGUGGCGAAGGCGGCUACCUGGACAGAAACUGACGCUGAGGCGCGAAAGCUAGGGGAGCAAACAGGAUUAGAUACCCCGGUAGC
rnacentral:rRNA from 1 species